rnacentral:lncRNA from 1 species
AAGCACUGGAUGUUCUGUCUUGGUGGCAUUGCUUGCCAUUUAAAUGUGAAAAAUCACAUCAUUUGUUACAUUUUAGGUCCAGAAACGGUUGAAAAAUGCUUCUGAGAUGAGGCAGACAGGUACGAUCAUAUUUAAACAUUUAAAUAUAUCUGACCUGGUGUUGCUUGACAUUUGUCUUCCAUCACGAUCCAUGACUUGUUUCUUUCCCCCUAUUAAUAUUGUCAGUUCUUAAAGGUUGGUUUGAUUUGACUUUAGUUUUUAAGGAAGCUGAGUCCUGGAAGAUUAAGAGAUGGGGUUAGAGAUACAUAACAGUUGUCUGACAUCAGAAUAAGCUUAGAACUGCCAUCAGCUUUAGCACAUUAAUAUAAAAUUUAAAAAUAUUUUGCUCUGAUAUGUGUUGCAAAAUAAAUCUAAUAUCUCACCACAAAUUCAAAGUGGAGCUUCUCAUACGAAUUUUUAUGAAUACAGUGCUAUGUUGCUUAUUUAUUUAAUAUGUUCAGUUUGGGGUGGAACCCUUACAAGACAGUUUGCAAGAAAGCAGCAAGAAUACUCAUUGCAAAGUAUUGGAAGACACAAGAACUUCCCACGCUGGAGGAAUGGCAGAUGAAACUGAUGGACUAUAUGGAACUGGCAGAAAUGACUGGUAGAAUCCGUGACCAGGGAGAAGAGUCGGUGGAGGAAGAUUGGAAGAAAUUCAAAGAUUAUUUACAGAAAUACUGCAAAAUUAAAGAAUGCUAGAGUGAUGUUGGAUUGAAAAUAAGUGGUUUCCAGCUGUACAGGAUUUAAAGUUAUAGAUAGACUAAGAUUAAAGAUUAGGAUUAAAGAAGUUUAAGGAAAUGGAAAUUUGGUAUUUAAGAGGUAAAAUUUUAAUGCUAUAUUAUAUUAAGAUUAAAGAUUGGGAUUAAAAAAAGUGGGAAAGAAAUUGCUGGACAAACAAUUUGAACUGGAAUACAAAAGAGGGAGGUAUGAGGAGGUCCAGAAAAUAAGUAAAUUUAAAAACGGAAAUGAAAAGGUGAUAUUGUUUUUAAAUGUUCUGUUUCUUUCUUUUUUUGUUUUUUGUUUUUUGUGCUUGUUUCUUUUUUGGAUUAUGUAUUGUGUAUUUGUGUAUUUCUUUUUUAUGUUUUUCUGUUUAACUUUCUACUGAAACCUUAAUAAAAAUCAUUUAAAAAACAAAAAAAAAACAAGACAGUUUGCAAGAAUUAAUAACAUAAUGCACAAAACAAUGUAAACUGUAAAAAUAGCCAGUAAGCUAGACUACAGGUGUUAGCCCCUAAUGGUUCUAUUUUCAGAAUUUGGAGGGGAGGGAGGGAACUAGGGUAUGUCAUCAAAGUUAAUUGGAUUAAUUCCAAAGAACAACAGCUAAUAGCAUUCUGAUAGGUUACGAGGGCCUGCCCUCCCAUUAGGCAGAGUGAAGCAACCGUCUCAGGUGUCAACUGCUCAGGAGCAGGAACAGCAGCUCUAGAUCUUUCUCCUAAGUCCCCAGCCAUUCCCUUCUGUUGCCAGAUGGCCUUUUCUGGAGGCCCUAACCUGGCCUGGUGCCUCAGGAGUGGUAGGGGAUGAUAUUGCAUCACCAGUGUUGAAGUGAGAUUCAUCUGCCAGUUGAGUUGGCUUCUGGGAGUGGACACCCUCUUUGUCCUUUGCCUCAGGUGGUAAAAUGUAUUGGAUUGACCCUGUAGGUUACACUUGGACAGCAUUCUCCAGGUUUAAAUAGAAAUGAUAUGUUCAUUUAAAAAAUGGGAUUCUUAUCACAUGGGGUUCUAUCUCCAAGCUCCUUGUGGGUUAUUACCAUGGUCUAGUAACAGUCUUUUUCAGCCAAACCUUCCUCAGUUGGUUGCUGUGAGAUACAUUUGGGGGGCUGUCGCGAGUUCCUUGGAUGAGAUAUCAAAUGAACGGAAGACAUGAACAGAAUCAAAGAGAUGGGGCUACAUUCAGAAUGAGUGCAGCAGAUUAACAUUGGCUCAAUUGCCCUACAUGGAAAUAUCUUUACUGCAUUGCAUCCUUUCUGCAUUGUUCCUUGAACAUGCGUGUGCACCAAUUAGACCAUAUGUGUUUGGCAUCUUGAUUCUUUUAUCCUUCAGGUAUUAAGGAGGAAUCAUCUCAAGCAACCUGAUCAGUCACCAACAGAAUAAAGCCUUUUGAUUUCCUGACGUUGAUGUCUGAGCUUUUAGCAUGAAGAAGCUCUUGUCAGCAGCUUCCAGUAUCAUCUUCCAUCCUGAGUUCUCCUGGGAAGGCCUGGAAGAGUCUUGUAACAAACAAACAGCUAUGCAUCAUCACCACCAAUUAACUAUUAUUUUG